rnacentral:rRNA from 1 species
GACGAACGCUGGCGGCGUGCUUAACACAUGCAAGUCGAGCGGUAAGGCCCUUUCGGGGGUACACGAGCGGCGAACGGGUGAGUAACACGUGGGUGACCUGCCCUCAGCUCUGGGAUAAGCCUGGGAAACCGGGUCUAAUACUGGAUAUGACUCCAUGACGCAUGUUGUGGGGUGGAAAGCCUUGUGCGGCUGAGGAUGGGCCCGCGGCCUAUCAGCUUGUUGGUGGGGUGAUGGCCUACCAAGGCGACGACGGGUAGCCGGCCUGAGAGGGCGACCGGCCACACUGGGACUGAGACACGGCCCAGACUCCUACGGGAGGCAGCGGUGGGGAAUCUUGCGCAAUGGGCGAAAGCCUGACGCAGCGACGCCGC